rnacentral:rRNA from 1 species
UACAGAGGUCUCAAGCGUUGUUCGGAUUCAUUGGGCGUAAAGGGUGCGUAGGUGGCGCCGUAAGUCGGGUGUGAAAUUUCGGAGCUUAACUCCGAAACUGCAUUCGAUACUGCGGUGCUUGAGGACUGGAGAGGAGACUGGAAUUUAUGGUGUAGCAGUGAAAUGCGUAGAGAUCAUAAGGAAGACCAGUGGCGAAGGCGGGUCUCUGGGCAGUUCCUGACACUGAGGCACGAAGGCCAGGGGAGCAAACGGG